GCUGGGUGUGGUGGCAUGCGCCUGUAAUCCCAGCGACUCGGGAGGCUGAGGCAUGAGGAUCACCAGUGCAAAGCCAACCUCAGCAAAAAAGAGAGGCACUAACAAACUCAGUGAGACCCUGUUUCUA
rnacentral:sRNA from 1 species